UACGUAGGGGGCGAGCGUUGUCCGGAUUUACUGGGCGUAAAGGGCGCGCAGGCGGUCUGGUAAGUUUGGAGUGACAGUGCUCGGCUUAACUGAGCAAGGCCUUCGAAAACUGCUAGACUUGAGCACUCAAGAGGGACAUAGAAUUCCGGGUGGAGUGGUGCAAUGCGUAGAUAUCCGGAGGAAUACCAAAGGCGAAGGCAGUGUCCUGGGGAGUGUCUGACGCUCAGGCGCGAAAGCUAGGGGAGCGAACAGG
rnacentral:rRNA from 1 species